rnacentral:pre_miRNA from 1 species
UUAAAGAAUUUGAAGAUUUCAACUUGAAGAAUUUGAAGACUUCAACUUGCAAACUUGAAAAAUUUGAAGACUUCAACU